CCCCGAGCCCAGCCCUGCAAGCGGCCCGGCCGCGCCUCGGGCGAUCUGGAGCCUUUAUUAUGAUGUUUAAGUAAGCAGUCGUGUGUGCCAACUGCAAUGCCGGGAUUUUAAAUAGCAGAAAUGAAAGGCCCCUGCCCCCGCCUCCCUCCUCCCCUGAGUUCAUGUAUUAUGAAUGAAACGCCAGCCUCGCUGCUUCCCUGAGGUUGCUCCACUUCAGGUUCCAGGUAGAGUGUAAUGGAAAGAGCCUGGACCCUGGUACUAUUCCCAGUUCCUCUAUGAACUUGCUAUGUGACUAUAGUCUCUCAGUAGAUCCUUCACCUCAUCAAUGAAGUGGAGUCAGUACCACCCACUUUGGAAGAAUUGUUUUGAAGAUUAAAAGAGUUACUGAUCAUUAUCCAUUCAAUUGUAGGGAUAUACUGAAUGCUUACAAGCCAGGCACUGUGUUCAUAGGAGGAAGCCAUCGCACUGUGGAGAGUGAGGCUUCCUGGAAGAAUGGAAUGCUGAGCUGGACCCA